AUUGAACGCUAGCGGGAUGCCUUACACAUGCAAGUCGAACGAGUGGCGAACGGGUGAGUAAUGUAUCGGAACGUGCCCAGUAGCGGGGGAUAACUACGCGAAAGCGUAGCUAAUACCGCAUACCAUCGGAUGUGCCCAGAUGGGAUUAGCUAGUAGGUGGGGUAACGGCUCACCUAGGCGACGAUCCCUAGCUGGUCUGAGAGGAUGACCAGCCACACUGGAACUGAGACACGGUCCAGACUCCUACGGGAGGCAGCAGUGGGGAAUAUUGCACAAUGGGCGCAAGCCUGAUGCAGCCAUGCCGCGUGUAUGAAGAAGGCCUUCGGGUUGUAAAGUACUUUCAGCGAGGAGGCGUUACUCGCAGAAGAAGCACCGGCUAACUCCGUGCCAGCAGCCGCGGUAAUAC
rnacentral:rRNA from 1 species